GGGGGUGUAGCUCAUCUGGUAGAGCGCGUGCUUAGCAUUCCAUCUGUGUGACGAGUCAAUCGUCAUCAGGAUACAUGUUACCUGCACGAGGUACUGGGUUCGACUCCCAGCUCCUCCA